UACGGGGGGGGCAAGCGUUGUUCGGAAUUACUGGGCGUAAAGGGCGUGUAGGCGGCCAACUAAGUCCGACGUGAAAUCCCCAGGCUUAACCUGGGAACUGCGUCGGAUACUGGAUGGCUUGAAUCCGGGAGAGGGAUGCGGAAUUCCAGGUGUAGCGGUGAAAUGCGUAGAUAUCUGGAGGAACACCGGUGGCGAAGGCGGCAUCCUGGACCGGCAUUGACGCUAAAGCGCGAAGGCCAGGGGAGCAAACGGG
rnacentral:rRNA from 1 species